AGGUGGUCUUUUUAGUUAUUUGGUUCAUUUCUUAAUUUGGGCACUUUUUAACACUCGUCUCCAGUCCUCUCAUCAACUUCGGAAUGGCUAAUUGGGCGCGAUAACACGACCAACACGACCUUUUAGCUAAUACCUUGAUGAGACAUAUAUUAGGUAAGGAGAUAAUUGACCACUUUACAUGCCCGUUUCAGACCAUGUGAUGUUCUUCUUUUUUCAUCGCUUUGUCUUUAUGCAUUUUCGCUUUUAUAUUGAAAUAUUGAUAAUAUACAUGAAAACAUUUCUCAAUUCUAUAAGAGCAGUGCAAUUUUUUCGAAAUACAGUGCCAAAAAAUAAAAUACAGUGCAAAAAAAUAAAAUACAGUGCCAAAAAAUAAAAUACAGUGCAAAAAAAGAAAUACAAUGCAAAAUUCAUCGACUAUUUAGGCUUUCUGAUUGGCUUAAAAUAUCAAAGAAUAACAAAGAUAGCCAAUAAGAUGCAGC